rnacentral:lncRNA from 1 species
AGGAAUUGGAACAUUAGUGAUAUCGACAUCGACGACGAAAGCAAAGACUGGAGAGACGAAGGAGCUGUAAUACCUGUUAAAGUUCAAGGAGCAUGUGGUAAGCUUACUGUGAUUAUAUACACUAUAAAAAGUCUACACUAAUUACUUGAAAACCGUCGGGAUAUAGUAAACGGUGGAUUGGUCAUUUAAACAAUGUCAUAAUUAGAUUAUAUUCCACAUACAAAAAAAUACAUUAGGCAAAACUUAAUCCCCAAGUUAGGGUUAUUCUAGGUUUAGGGUUAUCAGUUGAUUGUUUCUUAACAAAAUGAAGUAACCAACAUAUAUAUAUAUAUAUACCUGGGCAGGAAGUUGUUGGGCGUUCUCAGCGAUUGGGGCGAUGGAAGGUUUGACAAAGAUAUCUGGCAAAAAUCUAUUAACACUGUCCGAACAGCAGCUUAUAGAUUGCGACACAGAGAAAAACACUGGUUGUGAUGGCGGAGGAAUAGAAGAAGCUUUCAAGUACAUAAUAAAAAACGGAGGGGUUUCUUUAGAAACGGAAUACCCUUACCAAGUGAAAAAGGGGAGCUGUCGUGCCAACGCCAGAUCCGCCACUCAGACACAGAUUAGAGGGUUCGAAAUGG